UGUUGUGGCCAAACUCCUUGUCAAUGCCAGAUCUCGUCAGAUCGCAGGGCUGGGCCUGGUUAGGACUUGGAUGGGAGACCGCUGGGAAUACCAGAUGCCACAGUGG
rnacentral:rRNA from 1 species